UACGUAGGUGACAAGCGUUGUCCGGAUUUACUGGGCGUAAAGAGCGCGCAGGCGGUCGUUCAAGUCGAGUGUGAAAGCCCCCGGCUCAACUGGGGAGGGUCAUUCGAUACUGAUCGACUCGAAGGCAGGAGAGGGUAGUGGAAUUCCCGGUGUAGUGGUGAAAUGCGUAGAUAUCGGGAGGAACACCUGUGGCGAAGGCGGCUUUCUGGGCCUUACCUGACGCUGAGACGCGAAAGCGUGGGGAGCGAACCGG
rnacentral:rRNA from 1 species